rnacentral:rRNA from 1 species
UCGCCUGUUUAUCAAAAACAUCUCAAUUAAAAUUGUUUUUUCUGCCCACUGAAAACAUUAAAGAGCCGCCUGGGGCGCCAAGGUAGCAUAGUAAUUUGUUUCUUAAUUAGAUAAUAGUAUGAACGAAUACCCCCCUUAUAAAUUUAUUAUAAAGGGAAUUACUCAAAUUAAAAUUUUGAUGAAAAUUUCAAAAUCUAAAACCUAGACGAUAAGACCCUAUGAAGCUUAACUAAAAAGGCCAAACCUUUUAUACCCCCACCUUAUUGGUUUAAUUGGGGCAAUGACUAAUAAAAAUAUUAUAAUACUGUUUAAUUUUAUAGAUCCUAAAGGGACCUUAUGAGUAAGCUACUCUAGGGAUAACAGCACCAUAGU